rnacentral:rRNA from 1 species
CUUCACGGAGAGUUUGAUCCUGGCUCAGGAUGAACGCUGGCGGCGUGCUUAACACAUGCAAGUCGAACGGUGAAGCAGAGCUUGCUCUGUGGAUCAGUGGCGAACGGGUGAGUAACACGUGAGCAAUCUGCCCCUGACUCUGGGAUAAGCGCUGGAAACGGCGUCUAAUACCGGAUACGAGCUGCGAAGGCAUCUUCAGCAGCU